rnacentral:lncRNA from 1 species
UAGGAACUUGAACCGCACAGUGUCACCAUUGUAGGUAGCCUUGACUGUCAACGCCGGGCUGCUUCUGUCUUUGAUGACAUAUCCCGGAUUCCCCUUGAAAGUAGGCUGACUUGAUGCACUGCCGCUGGAGGAAUCAGUCAUACCGGAGGUGGAAGGAUGGGUGUGCUCCUUGGUGUCAUGACCGUCAACCAUAGUCACAUCUGCUUGCUGUACAAAUGAUGAGUUCCUUCCCAUUGUUUGGUCAUCGAUGCUUGGGUGGAGAGAAGUUGGAGAAUUAGUGUAACCUGUUUCUCCGAUACGUAAAGAAUUAACAACAAUGGGAUAUAAUGGUCCUUGUGCAUCUUCAGAGUUUGAAUGUGGUGUGAACUUUGCAACAUCAGGAGCAUAGUUUCUACUGCCAUUGUUGUUGUUUGCUAACAUUCGAACUUCAUCACCUUCCCCUUCCCUUUUGGAUAUGUUGGAAACGUGAAAUUGGCAGUCUCCUCUUUGCCAUCCAUCAGGUGAAGAGAAACCUUGUUCUGAUUUCGGGCUAGAUUUUUCCUCCAUUGUUUUUCCAACAGAUGAAGUAGGCAAUGAAUCACAAGCAGAGAAUGGCAUCUUAUCUGGAAGAGAGGCUGCUGGAACAAGGGACCCAGUAGCAGGAUCAUACUGCAAGGAUCUAUCCACACCAUGAACUGAGUUAAUGACUGUCUGGAUCUUCUUCAAGGAACGAUUGACCUUGUUUAUCUUUCGAGAUGGCCAUCGCGAAAUUCCAUGUUGUCUGCAAAUCCGUUUCAAAGUCGUAGGACAAACUGCGAUGGUGUUUAUAGGCAAGUGUCAGAAGUUAUUUGUUUCAUAAUCUCCUCCUAUAUACAUAAGCUAAGAAACUCUGCUAUGUGAAUAUCACAACACGUUUAUAUUCAAUCGAGAUUCAAUAGAUACAGUAGGGGCUCACCACCGAGGCUCAUUGAAGCUUCCCUCAGGCUCCCAGAAAAGUAUUUGCGAAGAACAUCCAAACUAAAAUUCUUCUCGGAUGUACUGCGUUUUUUCUCUGCAACUCGCAUCGAGCUAGCCUGUGCCUGCAGCGAGGAACAAAGUUCUUCAUCAACAGGGUAAAAUAACAAAAUUUCUGUUAUCAUUUUAAAAUUAAAUGAACCCAUCAGCAUUUACUCUUAUGAAAACUGAAUGCAGUCCACCUUGAAAAGGCUUACAAGACAUGCCACAAGACAUCCAAUUCGUUUAGGCGCUACUGACUAAGUGUCUAAAAAGCUAGUGAAUGAUUGGAUGUAAUGGUAUAUUUAUAAUUAUAAUAAUGCGGCACCUGGUCAGAUUCUAUAUCUUGUUCUUGCUUGUCAGCCAAAGAUAGAUCCUGGAAUGCAGAUUCUGUAAUUGGCUGGUCAUCAUGUGAGGAACUUUCAGAGUUACCAGUUGGCAAACUUCCAUUACUCUUCUUAUUCAUUGAUGCAGCAGAAGCACUAACACUAUCAGCCUCAGCUUCAGAAACUGUUCGCAAGCUUUUGCAUAUUCUUUGCAUUGUGCUGGAAAGGUUGUUUAAUAACAUCUGCUGCUCUCCACAGCCCUUGCAGUUGACUGGGAGAAAAAAUUCUAGAAUGUAGUCAUCGUUACCAGUAUACGUGCUCCUCAGCCGGAUGGCUACAGCAGCAUGCAGGCCAAACUUACGAGCAUGGUGUGCAAGCGGGUAGUCUUCGAUAUUGUACUCUCUUACAUCAGGAGAGAAGAAUGGCAGAUUGGAUUUAAGUGCUCGACCAGCAAUACCCUGCCCUUUCUCAAGAUGACGUUCAGCACAUGCAUGAAGAAACCCCUGCAUCUUUGCAUCGUUAAUAUAACAAGCUGAUUCAUGGAUACGAAGUACUGUUUUUCCUGAUUGUGAAUCAACUCCAAUAUUAUUUCUGACACAAUAACCAUUAUCAAUACCGUUUGAUGUAGGAACCCAUGUAAGGGCCAAUGGAAGCAUGUGUGCAUGACAAAUAGCUCUUAGAACAUCCAAAAUCUCAAUGAAAGCAGAUUUCUGAUUUUCAGAGUAAACCUGCAUAUGAGGAGAGUGCAUGCUUGAACAUCAAUAGUUAAAUAGUUCAAGACAACAGCAAGAGAGAUGUUUACAUGGAGCAUGUUAGAAGUGAAGAGUGGCACCUUCUGACUGCUGCGAUCUGUUGCUGUCUGCAAGUUCACAGCCUACAGAAAAGCGACGGGAUAAGUAUAAAGUAUAUGCUAGGUUCAGUGCUAAGUGUAAAACAAAAUGCUUUGCCUCGCCAAUUGACAACAUACAGGUGAACUAAAAUUUUGACAGAAUCUAUUGCCUACUAUUAUAUAUAAAUAAAAGUAAUAGUGACAAAUGAAGAAAACAGAUUGCAACAAGAAUAAAUGUCAUAUAAAAAUAAAUAGAGCUCCUUUUGUUACUCAUGAGUACUUCAACUUAACAUUAAGCAUUGAUGUCACUAAAGUAAAUAUCCCUAGUCUAGAACAAGUUAGAACUUGCCUGCAAUGCAUUGCAAACACUGUCCAUCUCUGCAUCAAAAUCAGGCUUCUCCUUGUUUGUGACAAGUUCAAGAACCGCACAACAAGAUCCCUUGCUGGGGUCAUAAAUUGGCAUAGCAAGCGACCCACGUAUUUCAUGACGAAGAGCAUGGUCCAUUCUCAAAUACUCCGGCUUACUGUAAUAGAGAACACUCGAGGUCCACUCUGGCACCCCAGAUAUGAAGACCCUCCCUGGAAGCCCUAGGUGCAGGCCAGGCUCCUCCUUUACUGAAAACAGGAAAUUCCUAGACACUUCUCUGUAACCUGCAAGAUCCUGGUCAAGUAGAAAAGGCUGCUCAAAUGUACUCAGCACGAUACGACCAUUGUGCUCAAUAGGCAUCCAGACUUGGGCGAGAACACCAUCACUCAAUGAUUUCCUGAACAAAGACAGCGCCAUGAGCAUCUUGUCUGCAAGAACGUUGCCCACAGACCUCGGAAUGAUGUUAGUCCCUUGCUGUGAACCAUUAUUUGGAACAAGCUCAUCUGAAACUUUUAGCUCUCUGUUCACUCCAGUUGGACCCAACGCCGAUGCCGAAUUGAUCCUUUGAGCAGGUGCUGCUGUCAUGUCCACAGGUUCAGAAUAGGUGUCAAACGGCAUGUCUUCUCUCACAGCAGAAGUACACGGAGACGAUCCCAAGGAUGACCACAUAGCAAACAUCUGUUGUGCAGCUGAGGGGUCAUUCAGCAUCGAGAAUAUCUGAUCAGCAACUGAAGGGCUGCAGACCUCCGAGUAUCCAUCAAAGUUCAUCAUGGCAGCAACACCAAAGGGAUCAUCUGAAGGCCCCAUGGGGCUGAACAGAAAAAUUGAGAUAUUGAAACACUCCGUAGAGCUUAAUCAACAACCACAUUUCAGUAUGAGGCAACUAUAUGCAAAAUAUUUAGACUUCACUGUUUGGGAGAAAGAUAUUAGUUACUUCAGUUUUGUAUAUACCUUACAUACUCGUGACCCCAUGAUCCGAUAUCACCUUCAGAGCCUAAUAACCGGUACUUCAGACUCUCCUGAAAUGUGGGAAAUAAAAUUUUAGGACCUGAGGUCAAGUGGAGUUCCCCACUAAAGAAGAACAGUUCAUCUACUACAGUGAGGGAGAUGAUCAUCACAGCAGGCACAUACCCUUUCUCCCUCAACGGACAUUGUCAAAGCUAACACCGAUAGAAUGUCCGCCAUGUAUUUCUGCGAUACAGUAAGGCAGCAUCAGUACUGUAUGAAAUGUAUUUCUGCGAUACAGUAAGGCAGCAUCAGUACUGUAUGAAACCAAUCUAAAUCACAGCACAACUUGGUGAUCAGCACUUUGCAUGUACCUUCAGCUCAGACUCCGGCAUGGUCUCAAAGUAGGACUUGAGGGCUCCAUAGUGCGGGCGGAGAAAUUUGAGCGGCUUCGGAACGGAAGUCAUUGAGCUCGUGGCAGAUCGGAUUUCCUGUCUGAAAUGGGUCACAGCAGUACUCAGCAAAACACAACCCUAGAACUGAAGAACUGAAUCGGGUGUUGAGUGCAUACCUCAUGCUCUCGAGGGCGAGCUUCUGCACACCGGGAUCGGCGUCCUGCGCGCGCAGGACGUAGAGCUCCAGCUGCUCCUUCAACGCCAAAUCUUCCUCUGGCUGCAGCAUACCAGCAACAUCGAAUACGUGAUUGAGGAGAAACAAGACCACAGAUCGAAAGCAAAUAACAAAAUUCUCGAGGGACGGGCGGACUCACCAGAUCGUCGAUAUCAUCCUUCUUCUUUCCCUUCCCCUUACCCGGCGGCGACGGAGCCAUGGCGGCGGCGAGGGAACUCCGGAGGCGCGGCGGGACUAAUCGGGGAGCGGAGCUGGAAGGGGGGUGCCUUCCUUUUUGGCGGGACUACUCCGGAGGCGCGGCGGGACUAGUUGAGGCGAGAAGAAUGGAAGCAGAGGAGUCCGUCCCCGGUGCCCGUCUUCCCUGCCCCCCUCCCUCCGCAACUAGGAGACGAUGACUCCGCGUGCGCGUGUUGGCUGCUGCGGCGGCGCUUCCGUCACAACCACACAGACCCAGACAGUGGGCCGGCCCAAGGAGCCCAAAUAGCAGUUCGCGUGUGCAAGCGGCCCAAUGCAGCAUUUAACACUAGUGCCUGUGGCCGCAACCGCCAAACGAGAUUUCUCGAGGUGAUACAGGUCCAGGCAGGUGCAAACAGUUUGGUCAUUUCCACACAGAGAGCUACAGCUAGAAUUUAAAACACCCCUUUUAAUUAGUAUCAUUUAGGCGCCAUAGAACCCGUUUUGGUAGGGACUCAGCAAACCAUUUCCCUACAGAAAGUGGAGUUCAUAACAAACAAAACAGACAUUCUAGAGUGAAACAGAAGAAAAUUCAGACGCAAAUUUCUCAGAUUCUACCAAAAAACAGAAGAGCUUGUUUCAUGUAUCCACACUGUGCCGCCCAUCUCCACCAUGAUCCAGCAGGGCUCCUGUGGCCAUCAUCCAGUACCGCAAACCAUAGUUCGGCAAUGCAAACUUUGCUAUCGGCAUGCAAAUGCAACCAACUGUCAUUGUUUUCGGUCACCCGACGCGUAGGAACUAGGAAACGAUUUGUAGAACGCCCAUAAUUUCGGGAUAGCAAACAGAUAUCCAUAACAAUCUCUCGCAAGAAAAGGAUCCAAGCCCAAAGCUUUUUACAAGUUGCUUAGUGCCUUUCUUUGAUGCAUGUUACCAUGCAUGCACCGAUGCGCAUGGAUUUUUUUUUCUUCCGCCAUGAUUCCUCCCAACCAAUGAAGCCACCACACACGGACGGACACACCGAUGGGCCUUACUGUGGGACGAUGGACCCUAUGUUCGUUUUUUUCCCGUAAAUUUUAACGGAAUCUUUUGGUCCUAUUGCUCGGCCGGACGAAGCCGUGGCAGCUCUAGGCUUGGAGUUAUUCACCCCUAAUUGUUGGUUUUGUUUCUUUCCUACCCCCCCCCCCCCACUCCCUCCCUCUCUAAAUAAAAUAAAAGUUGUUAGUUUAGCAUUCAAAAAACCUACUUUAAGGCAGCUUUAAGGUAUUGGUACUACAAUUAAAAUGGCUUGAAUCCUUAGUUAAUUUCAGUGCUAACAAAUGCAUCCCAUGUCCUGUGUGGAAGGCUACAUGGGAAGCUACAGUAAAGUGUAUCAGACAAGUCAGCACAAAGGACUAGAAAUCCUUUUGAAGAUGCAGGCUGCAGUACAGCAUCAAAGCUGCGGCCCGUGGUACUGGUGGUACGUACCUGAUCGAUCGACGCGGCAGAAUAUAAAAUCCAAUUUCAGUAGACCGGUAGCCCUGUACUUUUUAGUACCCACAGUGUUACCCUUUUUGUCUGAUCAGUUCGGUAGUAGUAUAUAUCAAGCUAAGCAUCUUGAAACUUCAGAAGUGGACGAAACGUGCACCAAUGAACUCUCUCUUUCCUUCGGUUGAUCAUUCAACUAGUUUUCAUGCUUGCAAAUACUUGUGAGCCAAAACCAGGCACUUGAUGUGUAUACAACCAACUUCUGAAGCUCAACAUGCUGAAAGAGUGGCAUGUCCGUAUGGUUGGCGAUAAGAGGGGAACAGGAUGAGUAUAGAAAAAAAAGCCUCCCGCUCUGUUCCGACCGUGCGUGGAGCACGUAGGUACAUGCAUUACUAUGUGCAUGAUGAUUCGAAAUACAAAUAAAAGGAAGAGUUGGAUAACAAUUCAAAGCUGCUUUGAGCUACUCCUCUGUUUCAAAAUGUAUGUUGUUUUAGCUUUUCUAGUUCAUAAAUAUUAUUAUGCAUCUAGAUAUAGUGCAUGUGUAGGUGCAUAAUAGUAUCUAUGAAUUAAAAAAGUCAAAACGACAUACAAUUUGGAACCGAGGGAGUACUAAGUAAUAAGAAGAAGCCAAAUUAAGCUAAAAGCAACAUGCUGAGAAACCGCCGUCCACUGUACGUCUAUAUAUAUAUAUAUAUAUAUAUUCGACUACUCGUACUACUACUGAUUAACCUUUUCUUAAAAAAAAUCUGAUAGAAAAGUUUGGAGCAACGCAUGCCACACGUACACGCCGUCAAGUGCUUUGUUGUAGGUUUGGUGAGGUGAAGGAUGAUCAGGGAUCAAUUAGUAGCAGCUAAGUUCAGGCCAUGCAUGCAUGUCUCCCAGUCUCCAAGAUGUGUGUCCAGCUGCUCCUCUCAUCUUAAACAAACAGGCAGAAACGGCAUUACCUUCCUUUUUCCUUUUUUUCUAACAGUAUUCUUCAACCCAUCUGUUUCCCACCGGUUGAUCGCAACGAUUUCCCGAUCGAUAGAAAUGUCUGGAGCAACACAUGCCACACGUACGAGCUCGAGUGUUUUUCUCCAGUGGCAGUUUAGUAUUGAGACAGUUGCAUGCAAAUGCUACUGCAUGCACACGAACAUGCUUGAAGUUUGAUAAUCUCCCCGGCCAGCGGCCGCAACCAUCAUGAUGGUAGCCAUGCCGGAUCGAUCGCUCGGAGGUCGUAGAAAAUAAACGGGCCGGGGGAGAUUGGGAAAAGUCAUGCAGCUGCUACAACGAAGCAAAGGCAAAGGGGGAAAAGGAGCCAUGAUCGCUGCGACCUCGAUCGCUCGAUGCUUUGGACCUUCAAGUUUUUAGAUAAAAUAUAAGAUGAGCUCGCCACCAGGCAUAUGAAUCCUAUUGCUUCAGUUUUCAGAUAUGUAUAGUCUCUAUAGUCCGGGACGGAUCCAAAGAGGGUCUAGUGGGGGCACAUGCCACUGACUAAGGUUUUCAGAUUUAGACCCUAUUUUGAUAAGCCACAAAGACUUAUACGCUAACAGCAGGUUAAUUAUGUUCCCGCUCAAAUUUUAGACUGAUGCAUUCUUUGUUGUUCCUCCUCUCGUUAGCAAUUUGUGGGCGGAGUUAGCAAUUUGUGGGCGGACCUACCAGACAAGACAGUUCAUCAUCCUGUUUUAGGAAAAAGUCUAUGUAACUCCCAACAUAUGGAUGGUGGCUCACUUCAACCUGAGGUUUUACACCCUAAACUAGUGAAAUUCAUUCAUCUAACCCCCAAAGUGGUUUUGCACCCUGGUUUUGAUGUCUUGCCAUGUUGGAUAGGGAUAACAUCUAAGUUUUUUUGGGCCCACUUGUCGGUUCUUCAUAGACUCACAAAUUAUGCUAAAGUUACAGGAUAUUCGAAGGGUCUUUUUGCAAAGAUGUGGGAGCUUGCUCGUCGCUCCCAUGCCUCACCGGAGCUCCAGCAAGCCGUGGGCGCCAAGAUUGGCGCAGAGAGUAGAGAAGAGGGAGAGGAGGCCGUGGCCCAUGGGUGUGCUCACCAUUCACCAAGGUCAAGCGACGGACGGCGUAUAUGAGCAUCUUGGCGGAAGCUUGAACGGCGGCGGCGGCGUUGGCCCGCCGCUCCGGCGGGGAAUCGACAGCGGAGUGGGACGGAGGAGGUGCGCGGCAACUCGGCAAAGCUCAUGGCGGUGACGCGUUGCUCUAUACCGGAUCAAUGAUGCUGAAUUUUGUGGUGGAAAUCAGCGGUAAGGCUCGUUUUGGGGACGGAUGUCUUCGCAAAUAGCACGUCCAUGCAUGGAUAGAUUGGUCGGCAGGAGGCAAUUUUGUGGGCAGCAUAGCAAGGAGAUUGGUGGGGCUUGUGCAGAUCAUGCAUGCAGAGUGAGGGAGACCGCCACUUUAGCAUGGCAUCGAUCUGGUCAAAAGAUCGGCCGGCGUGGCCUGCCAUGCAGUGCCGAGCCGAGAAGAGGACGCUUUGCCUGGCCGGGAGUCCGGGACCGAGCGAGCCGGUGCGCGUGGAAAUGGGGCCUCAGCUCACCUCAUCAUCCUGCUGGCCGCUGGUCCUGGCAACCUCAUGUGUCGCCAUGGUCGCGAUACCGGUGCAUGGAGAUGGGGGCAGCUGGGGGGCAACCCGAACUUGCAGUAGGUCCGAGCAAUCGAGCUCGCUAUUCCUCUAGCCCAAUCGCCGUGUCUCUAGUUCAGCAGUUCCCUGUCGUCUGCCGCGCUGUCUCGAACUGGUUGGGGGUCUUGGGGACGCUUUGAUUGGAUCAUCGGACGAGCACUGCCUGCCAGGCUGCGGGUGUGGAAGUGGUCAGUGAGGAGACAGCGCCGGCGGUUUGACUGUGUUGGUGGCGUAGUGUGCCUCAAUGCCUGCGCGGCGCGAGUUGCCCCGGGGGGGGGAGGGGGUUUGGCCUUAGGAGGCUUUUUUUAUUUUUACUCGUGGGGGGGAUUUCGGAAACAAGAUGACGUAAUCUACCUCGUAACGCACCAGAGUCUGGGGUUUUUUGCAGAUCAUGUGAACCCCAUUAUACUUAUGUGGGGGGAGGGGGUAGGAGAAGAGCGAAGANNNNNNNNNNNNNNNNNNNNNNNNNNNNNNNNNNNNNNNNNNNNNNNNNNNNNNNNNNNNNNNNNNNNNNNNNNNNNNNNNNNNNNNNNNNNNNNNNNNNGGUAUUACUUGUCUAGCUGGCUCGAAUUUGUGAACCAAGGCCCAGUAUCCACCCCCAAUGCAGCCUAUGUCCGGCCCUUUUGUCUCCGUAACUAAACCAAGUUGUUUACUUGCUUGGUAUGCUGUGUACAAGGCGAAGAAUUUGGUAACCAAAAUGGCAAAUUAUAUUAAAGAAGAAGAACAAGGUCGAUUACAUAUCUGUAACCGAUGGUGGAGCGGCCGUUACUGGCGCAGGGAGGUGUUGCGGCGGUCGUUUCGUGGGAGAGGAAGCGGAGGAGGCGCGUGCAUGCGGGGAAGACGAGCGGGUGCGAGAAGUUGAAGGUGCGUCGGGAGGCGGAGGGGCGCCGGGUCGCCGGGACAGCUCGAGCAGCGCAGGUGUGCGGCGGGAGGCGAGCAAACGCUGGAGGUAGAAGAAACGGCUUACAUCUGGGCCCGCUUUGUCAGCGGAAGGAAGAGAGGGAGAGGGAGAUGGUGGGCCGUCGCGGGAGAUGGGCCGGAAGGGAAUGCUGGACCGGCGGGAGAAAAGGCCGGUGCGGCAUGUUGGGCCGGAAGGGAAACGGUCAGUGUGGGGGAAAGGAGGCCGGCCUGCUGAGGAGAAAGAAAAGGGCGGGGGAGAGGUGGCGGGCCGGGCCGGGAAAAAGGCCGGUAGAAGAUGGGCCGCUGCGGGUCGGGCCCACGGGCUCGGCCCGUUAGAAAGGGUAGGUUUUGAUAAAUAUUUUCAGUGUAAAAACAAAUCCAGAGAACUCAAGAUAAUGUUUUUAAAGCACGAAAAAUAUUUCUGAAAUCCUAAAAAUUCUAGGAAAAAUCCCAGAGAUAUUUUGGGACACAAGGAAUCCAAAUAAAAUAUUUAGAGAUCGUGAAAAAGAUUUUAGAGCCUUCCAAAAAUUAGAUUUAGCUCUAGGAAAAGGAGAAUAAAUUUUAGAAAAAUUGGAAAAUUAGAUUUAGCUCUAGGAAAAGGAAUAUUAUAUCCCAUUGUUGUUGUUAAUUCUUUACGUACCAGAGAAACAUGCUACACUAAUUCUCCAACUUGUCUCCACCCAAGCAUCGAUAGCAUUGAUGACUAAACAAUGAGAAGGAACUCAUCAUUUGUACAGCAAGCAGAUGUGACUAUGGUUGACGGUCAUGACACCAAGGAGCACACCCAUCCUUCCACCUCCAGUAUGACUGAUUCCUCCAGCGGUAGUGCAUCAAGUCAGCCUACUUUCAAGGGUAAUCCGGGAUACGUCAUCAAAGACAGAAGCAGCUCGGUGCUGACAGUCAAGGCUACCUACAAUGGUGACACUGUGCGGUUCAAGUUCCUACCAGCAAUGGGCUGGUAUCACUUACUGGAAGAGAUAGCAAAGAGGUUCAGGCUGACGACAGGGGCAUUCCAGCUCAAGUACAAGGAGGAUAAGGAUGAGUGGGUGAUCCUGGCAAGUGACUCCGAUCUCCAGGAGUGCGUGGAUGUCCUAGACUCAACCAGCUCGUGUAACCUGAAGCUUCAGGUGCGCGACCUCCCGUGUCUGAUCAGCAGCUCGGGCAGCAGCAGCUAUUUGCAUGUGAUAGGACGAGAAACCUAGGGGGCUCACCCCUAAACCGUAGCCUGUUGUAGUAGGUCUAGUAAUCUGUUGCAACCAUAGAGGAUCUGUCUAUGGAAUGCACAAAUGGCUAGAGAAAAAAAGAAAAUAUAAUACUCAUCGCACGGAUCGCAUACAAAGUUGAAACGGUGUCGAAAAGAUCUCGGUGUAAUAUGUUGCUAGUUCCAACUUUCAAGACCUUGACAAUAAUCUGAUGUCAUGACAGCUUAAGAUGAGACAAUGAUUGUAUAUCAAAAUUCAGAGUCCGGGUUUCUUGUAUGCAAUGUGCAAUUGCAUGAUGGAGGAAACCGGUAUUUCUGAACUUCCUGUCUUCCUAUCUCCAAUCUAUUCCUCUCAGAGUUUGAGUUCACUUGAGAAAUAUUUCUGUGCUCUAGAUGGCUGCAGGUUCGGUGGUACCUGUCUACCUAGUGCAUAACCAUGUGGAUACAAAGUGAUUUGGAGUCAGUUUUGAGCAAUCUUUUCUCCGAUCUCCUAGUAGUGAUAGCCUGGUGUCCUGACAUUUUGGCCUUGGUUGCUCGAGAUGCAGGCCGCUUUUCGACCCAGCACGAGUCCGAGUGUGCUGCUCUGAAAGCGUGGAGCAGCUCAUGAGAGAGAGACUGGAUUACUGGGGAGCUUACUGUUUUUAUUGAGGCCCAACACAAGCUGUCCCAGCAAGCUGUCCAACUGGGAAGGAUAACAGCUCACCCUCGCUGUCAGGGGAGAACGGGUGAGCUUGGCGUCGAGUGGUUUCAGUUUAUCGGCUAUCAACGGUACAAGUGCAGAAUGUUUUCGUGGUUCUGAACGGCUAGGCUGUCAGUUUGCGUGAAGCUCGGAAAGGUUUAACCGUGGUGGAGAGAAGAGCCCCCAGGCACUGGAGAGAGACUUUCAGCAUAGUUUGGAUCACUUGUGCAGGAUAUUUUCUGGGAGAUUAGGACUACCAGAUUACUAUCAGUAGCAGCCACUCAGCAUGGCGUUCCUCGUGUGCAGCUUUAUGUAUUACUAUAAUUUCUCUUUUUAGCACUUUCUCAAGAAGGCAUGUUAGGAAGUCUUUUUCUUAAAAAAAAAAAUAAGGAUCAUGCCCGUGCGUUGCUACGGGCAAUAAAAUAUUUAUAUUGAAAUACACAUAGCAACCUGCUGCAGUAAUCCAAAACAAGACAUUCCAACAUUACAGUCAUGGGUCAUCUAUGGUUGCAAUAGAUUACUAGACCUACUACAACAGGCUACGGUUUAGGGGUGAGCCCCCUAGGUUUCUCGUCUUGUCACCUACAAACAGCUGUUGCUGCCUGAGCUGCUGAUGAGGCACGAGAGGUCACGCACCUGAAGCUUCAGGUUAUGCGAGCCGAUUGAGUCCAGGACAUCCACGCAUUCUCGUCAUCCUUGCACUUAAAUUGGAAUGCCCGUGUCGUCAACCUGAACCUCUUUGCUAUCUCUUCCAAUAAGUGAUACCAGCCCAUUAAUGGUAGGAACUUGAACUGCGUAGUGUCACCAUUGUAGGUAGCUUUGACUGUGAGCGUCGGGCCGCUUCUGUCUUUGAUGACGUAUCCCGAAUUUUCCUUGAAAGUAGGCUGACUUGAUGCACUGCCGCUGGAGGAAUCAGUCAUAACGGAGGUGGAAGGAUGGGUGUGCUCCUUGGUGUCAUGACCGUCAACCAUAGUCACAUCUGCUUGCUGUACAAAUGAUGAGUUCCUUCCCAUUGUUUGGUCAUCGAUGCUUGGGUGGAGAGAAGUUGGAGAAUUA